UGGGGAAUCUUCCGCAAUGGACGAAAGUCUGACGGAGCGACGCCGCGUGAGUGAUGAAGGCCCUUGGGUCGUAAAGCUCUGUCAUCAGGGACGAACGGUCACGUCAGGAAAUGGGCGUGAAUUGACGGUACCUGAGAAGGAAGCCACGGCUAACUACGUGCCAGCAGCCGCGGUAAUACGUAGGUGGCAAGCGUUGUCCGGAAUUAUUGGGCGUAAAGCGCGCGCAGGUGGGAUCUUAAGUCCAUUUUGAAAGUUCGGAGCUCAACUCCGUGAUGGGAUGGAAACUGGGAUUCUUGAGUAUCGGAGAGGAAAGCGGAAUUCCCCGUGUAGCGGUGAAAUGCGUAGAUAUCGGGAGGAACACCAGUGGCGAAGGCGGCUUCCUGGCACAAUACUGACGCUCAUGUGCGAAAGCUAGGGCAGCGAACA
rnacentral:rRNA from 1 species